ACAAACGACUCUCGGCAACGGAUAUCUCGGCUCACGCAUCGAUGAAGAACGUAGCAAAAUGCGAUACUUGGUGUGAAUUGCAGAAUCCCGUGAACCAUCGAGUUUUUGAACGCAAGUUGCGCCCGAAGCCAUUCGGCCGAGGGCACGUCUGCCUGGGCGUCACG
rnacentral:rRNA from 4 species